rnacentral:misc_RNA from 1 species
GUAGGUGAACCUGCGGAAGGAUCAUUAACUAUAUAAAGGCCGUGGGGCAAGUUCUCCGAAAGGACAGCUAAGUGGAUGUCCGGUUCCACUAGCUGGGGCGCGAUGGUCCCUGUGUUUCACAGGACGCCUACCGCUGAUCGAGCUUGCUUUCUAUCCUACCCUUGCUUUUUGCGCACCCAUUGUUUCCUCGGCAGGCUUGCCUGCCAGUAGGACCCUCUUAAACCCUUUGUAAUUGCAAUCAGCGUCAGAAACAACGUAAUCGUUACAACUUUCAACAACGGAUCUCUUGGUUCUG